rnacentral:tRNA from 1 species
CAGAAGGUAGUCUAGUUAAGAUUUAAACUUUGGGAGUUUAAGACACAUUUACAUGUUCUUCUGA